GAGAGCGUUGCCGUGGAAAUAGAACCAACAGAUCAAGGGGACAGAACAGAGAGCUUAGAAACAGACCCACGUAGGUAGAGUAACAUGGUUCAUAACCAAGGGGGCAUUUUUAUUUUUACCGGAAAAUGGAAAAAGGAAGACGAAACUAGGGCAGACCAAUAACCCCAACGAGAAUAAUAAUCGCGAACACAUGUUAGGAGAUACCAGCCAGGCACUGUUCAAAGGCUUUAUGUGUGUAACUCACAGAAUCCUCACCCCCUCACAGUAGGUCUCACGGUAGCAAAGAUCCACAGAAGUCAGAAAACGAGCCCCAGGACACAGAACUAGCAACUGGAUCCCCAGGAUCCCAACCAAGACUCCAGACCCGUGGCAAACCCCAGGAUGUUACCUGUGCUUCUACAAAGUGGCUACAGCUUGGAGGUUUUAACAACCUCUUUGCGACUGGUUUAGAAGAAAAGAAAAACAACAAGGCCCCAAACCAAGAUUCCAUGAAAACUUUGGUUGAACACGAUCUUUAUCUCAGGAAACAUGCUGAGGAGAUGGUAUUUUACGGAAACUCAAAAACAAACGGACCCAAUUCGAAAGCGGGCAAAGGAUCCGAAUAGAUAGCUCUCUAAAAGAAGGAAAACAAAUGGCCAAUAGGCAUCUAGUCAUCAGGGAGAUGCACGUCAACACCGCAACGUAAAAGGCAGAUAAUACCAGUACUGGUGGGGACACAAAGAGAAAUCAUCACCCACUGCCGAUGGGAAGGUAAAAUGGCCCAGCCACCUUGGAAAACCGUCUAGUAGUUUCUUAAGGUAUAAUCCAGCAAUUCCACUCCUAGGGAUAUGGGCAAAAGAAAUGAAACCAUAUACCCACACAAACACUUGUACACAAACGUUUGUAAUAGCAUUAUUUAUAACAGCUCAAAAGUGGAAACAACCCAAAUGUCCAUCAACUGGGAAACAGAUGUUUUCAGCGUGGCAUAUCCAUACGAUGGUAGGUUAUUCCGCAAGAAAAAGAAAUAACGCACUGGGGUGCCUGGGUGGCUCAGUUGGUUAAGUCGCGAGUCAGACGACUCAUGAUUUGGGCUCAGGUCAUG